UUCUGGCCAGAAGACUCCUUUUUUCCAUCACAUGGCCGUGCACACCUCAACCUGUCCUGAAUACUUUUUCCAAGGAGCAGAGAAUCUUCUAUGAAUCUUCAAUAAACAUUUGUAUCAAAACAAAUUUGUUUUGGUUUUUACAUAUCAAAUAAUUAUUUUGUCUUCUCUUAUAACUAAAAUGAAGAGGCCUCGGGUUUUUGUGUAUUUCUUCUGGAAAUUUGAUUUGCGAGAAAAUCUUGGCUGUCCUUCAUUUUACUCGGUCUAUUUUUGCCUUUAAAGGAGUUUCCUUUAGAUCUAUGCACUAUUUUAAAUUAAUUAUUUACUGUUAGAUCAUAGUGUUUCAUUUUGAUUUUUCCCCUAGCGUUAACUAAAAACGGUUCAAAAAUAUACUUGAAUAGUUGAGUUUGUCUUUGUGUUUGAGUUUUUUAGUUUGUAUUUAACAGAAAACAUUUGAUUUUUUCUCUAUUUCUGGUGAAGUUCUGAAGGUCUUCUCGUAUGAUAUAGCAAAAUUUGGUAUACUAUAUUUCUCAGUUAAAGUUUGUUUGCAUAUUUGAUCUCUUCUUUAAUAAAAUGAACAGGAUUACGUGCCUACCAUUUUUGACAAUUUCAGUGCCAAUGUCUUUGUGGAUGGGAGCACUGUUAAUCUAGGUUUAUGGGAUACUGCUAGUACAUUACUUGUUUCCUGCUGAAGUAUUUUCUUAUUGAUCUUUAAACCUAUUGUUGAGUAGUUUUGACUCUUAUUUCAUUAAAAAGGUCAGGAGGAUUACAAUAGGUUAAGACCGUUGAGCUACUGUGGUGCUGAUGUCUUUAUACUUGCAUUUUCCCUCAUUGGCAGGGCUAGUUACGAAAACGUCUCUAAAAAGGUGAGCCUAUGUUUUGCCAGUAUCAUGCAUUCUUCCCUUGUCUACAUGUUAUAUUCAUUUGGUAUUGAAUAGAGGGAAAAAGAGAAAGAAAGAAGGCAUAAAUAAUCUCAUUGUGUUUUACUAAGAAAAAAGGAGACCAGCAAGAGUGGAUUCCUGAAUUGAGACAUUAUGCUCCUGGUGUUCCAAUCAUUCUUGUCGGCACAAAACUUGAAUAUUAAGGCAGUCUUUGAUGCUGCCAUUAAGCUUGUCCUGCAGCAACCAAAGCAAAAGAAGAAAAAGAAUAGAAAGGAUCAAAAGGCUUGCAGUAUAUUGUGACUGCUAAAAGAAAUGCCACGGAGCAGAAGAUUAUUUUCCGUAUUAAUCUGAUUUCCUCUCAUAGCCCCCUGUCGAGGAUACAACAACCUGUGAGUUUACUUGACUUACUAUACCAGGGGGGCUCACGUUAAACCAUCAUGUUGUCAACUGCUGUUUGAGAUGUACAUUUAUGAGUGUGAUUUGUUCUGGUGAUAUGAAAAUGCUUCUUAAGAACCAUAGAUUCUGUAAUUUCUAAGCUUGUGUGUACCAAAGUUCUCUUUGUGGACUUUCUGAAUUUCAUGUGUAUCAUGGUUAGAAAAGUAAAAAUGGAGAGACUAGUUUCACUAUACUUGUGGAUGAUUUAGCUCCAGUUUGAUUUUGCUAAAAAUCAAAUUUUUAGUAGAUUUUGAUAAAAAUUAAUG